GAUUUCUUUUGCGCGUUUUUCGAUAUCUUUAGUCCAAUUAACAGGUGGAUGACAAAAUAAACCGAGAAUACCAUCCCCGCAACCACCUAAAUUCUUCGGUGGACAUUCUAUACUUCCGUCAUCGUUAGUUUUCCAGUUCCAUAAAAUCGUGCACAAACUUUUACGCUUAUUCGUUGUGUUAUGCUUGAGAUCUCGAAGACCGCCAUGUAAAUGCCCCUCACGGAAUUCCCGACAACAAGGUAAACAGAGAAUAUACGAGCAAUUUCCACAGCUUCGGUGAACAUCCACAAUGCAAGCUUUGCAAAAACCGCUCACUGCUGCUUUGGGGAGCCUAUCGCCUCCUGUAUUUGUAGCUCACUGCGGUCUUUUCCUACGGUUUUCAAAUAACAAUUAA
rnacentral:lncRNA from 1 species